GUGAUUGUUUAUUUGCUCCAAUGAAAAAACUGCAUCAUUUUGAGAUACAGCAUGCUUCUACCUCAGUGGCUGAUACACUUUUCCCUGCUGUUAUUGGUAACUUAAAUAUUUUGCUUACUUCAUAAUUAAAAUGAAUAUCAUCAACAUAGUUCCUAAACGAUUCUCCAAUAUUGAGUUGAAUAUCUAUAUUUGUAAAACUGGGUAAUUUGGAGAGAACAUGUUCUGGUACAUAAGGAUAUAUGCCAGUAGCCUUAAAUCCUGCUUGGAGAUUAUGUUCUAGAUUUUCUUUACCAACAUUAAGAGUAGAUUUAAUGAGCUGC
rnacentral:lncRNA from 1 species